UACGUAGGGGCAAGCGUUGUCCGGAGUUACUGGGCGUAAAGCGCACGCAGGCGGUCGCGUAAGAGUGCGGGGACAGUGGGCGGCUUAACUGCCCAAGGGUCGCACAGACUGCGUGACUGGAGGGCCAGAGAGGGACCUGGAAUUCCGGGUGGAGCGGUGAAAUGCGUAGAGAUCCGGAGGAACACCAAUGGCGAAGGCAGGGUCCUGGCUGGCACCUGACGCUCAUGUGCGAAAGCCAGGGGAGCGAACGGG
rnacentral:rRNA from 1 species